AACUGGCUUCAAGCUGUCCACUAGCCCAAGCUCUCAAAAAAAACAGGUGUUCUCUGAGACUGUCCUUCUCCAAAUAAGUGUCAUUGCCUUUCACUGUAAUGUUUCAAAAUUUCUGUGUGAUGUUUGGUUAAUGCAGGGUGAUCUAUUGGUUCAUUUUGAAGGGGCAACCAUAUGUCUGAACAUCAGUCUCUGUCUUAUGUUACUGGUAGCAUGAUUGAGUAUCUGGGCUCAAAGUUUUCAGAAACUUCUCUACAUAAGGGAAACAGAUGCUUGCCCCAGACACCACUUACAUGUGUUUCCAAGUUACUUAAAUUUCCUACAGUUGUGCAAGUCUGUCUAUGUGCAGGCAAUCUUCUUGCAGAUCUGCUUCAGGACCUGUGAUGGAAAAUUCCAGUACUGGUCAGCCUAGGGGACUGUCAAGUGAAGAGUGGAUCUGAAAGCAACUAGACAAUAGCUGGCAGCAGUGAGAUGGACUGGAUUGGCCUGUUGAAAACAGACCUCAUGAAUGUGGAAUUUGCACUGCUUGGAUGCCUUUUUUUCCUGGUAUGACAGCAUGGAUCUGAAGGGCCAGCAAGUUAACUCAGGAGUUACUCAAGCACAUCAUUGGAAACCACAUGUCUUUAGUCCUGCUGUGAAGCAAGAGGCAGCCCAGGACUCCAGGUUUUUCCUUUCUGGGAGUGAUAUUCUGCUCUGCUCAACUAGGACACCUCACGUGGAGGCUGACGUAGCUUCUCAUCUGCACCUGUGAGGACUUUCCCGAGUGUGAACUUUGUGGAGGCCAGAAGGUGACUGUUACCUGGGCAGUGCCAGAAAGGUCUCUACUCUUUCUCUUUCUAUAUAAAGUUACUUCUUCUCUGUGUGGUGAUUAAUUUGUCAACAUUCAGGUGAAGUCAUUUGCUCAUUUGAAAGGGGAGGAGAAAAUGUUCAAUAGAAAUAUGCACUGUUUGAAAUGUUCUCAAAGAGACUUCUAACCUUUAGUCUCAAU
rnacentral:lncRNA from 1 species